rfam:Gossypium arboreum cultivar AKA8401 contig_25444_1, whole genome shotgun sequence.
UAUUAAAAAUUUCAUCUAUUUUUACUGUAAAAAUUGGCAUUACUAAUGAAAUCACCAAACAGUUAUAUGUGGCGUGUUAUGUAUACCUCAUUCCGAUGUAUAAAGACUGCAUUUUACUAAUAAAAAUUGAUGACAUAUUUAACA